UAAUAGUUACAGUUUAUUACAUGUCCUGGAUCUUUUCCAUGUUCUUAGAUAUAGAUUUACUUCAUUUUAUUCAAUAGUGUUUCUCCAUCUGAAUGUAAGGAUCUUGAGGUGGAAAGAUUAUCCUGGAUUAUCUGGGUGGGCCCUAAAGGUAAUCUCAAGUGUCCUUAUAAGGGGGAGAUUCGACACCGAAAGCAAAGCAACACUGAAGCAGGAUGCUGCGCCACUGGGGGACAGGGGCCAAGGGACGCAAGAAAUGCAACUCUGAGAUUGGAAAUGGAUGGGAAAUGGAUUCUCCAGAGACAGCAAGGCCCCAGCAACACCUGGAUUUGGGUCCAUGAAACUGAUUUUGGACUUCUGACUUCCAGAACUAUCUAAUCAAAUAACUCAGGUUAAAAUAGAAGGAUCCUGCCUUCCUCUCAGAAUCCAGUAAACUCUGUCCCUCAAGCACCCAUCUAGGACUGGGCCUUUCAGAAUUGUACUUGCCAUCACCUCUACCUUGCCCUGGGUGCCAGAGCUGAGAGCUGCAUGUGAGUCCCAAGGUCUUUUCGGCUGACAGUGCCAUGGACUGCAUAGUAACCUCUGUGACCUGCACAUAUACCUCCAGAUGAGUUCCUGGAAAUAGUCUGAAAUAACUGGAAAACCACAAAAGGAGAAGGAAUGACCAACCCCUGAGGUGCCUAAUUAACUUGAGAUAUUGUUCCUUAUUCCUGCCUCAACUAAGGCAAUUGGACUUUGUAACAAACCUUGGCCAACCUCAUGACUCCAGACCCUCUGACCCCCUCCCAGUUUGGGUGAAACCGCCCUAAACUGUAACUUCUGUAACUUUCCACUGCCUACCCCAAACCUAUAAAACCAACUCCUAUCCCACCGCCCUCAGCUGACCCUCUUUUCAGACUUAGCCUGCCCACACCCAGAAUAAACAGCCAUGUUGCUCAUAGAAAGCCUGUUUGUGGGAGGGGGUCUCUUCAUUCAGAGCAUGUGUUUUAACACCUAGUAGUUUUUCUUUGUCCAUUUUAGUGAGCAUUAAAAUGAAAGUUUUAUAAAUAUGGUUUAAUUUUCUUGCCAGCACUUUUUUUCAACUUUUUUUUUUUUGAGACAGAGUCCGACUGUUGUCCAGUCUAGAGUGCAGUGGUGAAAUCUCAGCUCACUGCAACCUCAACUCACUCAACUCACCUCCUGAGUUCAAGUGAUUCUCCUGCCUCAGCCACCUGAGUAGCUGAGAUUACAGGCACCUGCCACCAUGCCCAGCUAAUUUUUUGUAUUUUUUUAUUAUAGUGUCUCACCCUGUUGGCCAGGCUGGUCUCUAACUCUUGGCCUCAAGUGAUCUGCCUGCCUUAGCCUUCCAAAGGGAUUGCACCCUGCCUCAAUUUCAACUUUUCUUUUAGACACAGGGCAUACAUGUGCAGGCUUGUUACACAGGUAUAUUGCACAUAGGUAGUGAGCAUGGCACCAUUAGGUAGUUUUUCAGCCUCCCUGCUCUGGGAGUCUGCAGUGUCUGUUAUUCCCAUGUCUAUGUCCAUGUGUGUUCAAUGUUUACCUCCCACUUAGGAGAACAUGUGGUAUGAAGUUUUCUGUUCCUGCAUUAAUGUGUUUAGGUUUAUAGCCUUCAGCUCCAUCCAUGUUGCUAUAAAGGACAUUAUUUCAUGCUUUUUUAUGGCUGUGUGGUAUUCCAUGGUGUACAUGUACAGUUUCUUUAUGCAGCCCACCCCUGUUGGGCAUCUAGGUUGAUUUCAUGUCUUUGCUAUUGUGAACAGUGUAGUAAUGAACAUAAAAUGCAUGUGUCUUGUUGGUAUAAUGACCUAUUUUUCUUUGGGUAUAUACCCAGUAAUGUUGUCACUGGUCAAAUAAUA